rnacentral:rRNA from 1 species
GAUUCCCCUAGUAACUGCGAGUGAAGCGGGAAAAGCUCAAAUUUAAAAGCUCAAAUUUAAAAUCUGUCAGUCUGGCUGUCCGAGUUGUAAUCUAGAGAAGCGUUAUCCGCGUUGGACCGUGUACAAGUCUCCUGGAAUGGAGCCUCAUAGAGGGUGAGAAUCCCGUCUUUGACACGGACUGCCAGGGCUUUUGUGAUGCGCUCUCAAAGAGUCGAGUUGUUUGGGAAUGCAGCUCAAAAUGGGUGGUAAAUUCCAUCUAAAGCUAAAUAUUGGCGAGAGACCGAUAGCGAACAAGUACCGUGAGGGAAAGAUGAAAAGAACUUUGGAAAGAGAGUUAAACAGUACGUGAAAUUGCUGAAAGGGAAACGCUUGAAGUCAGUCGCGUUGUCCAGGGAUCAACCUUGCUUUUGCUUGGUGUACUUUCUGGUUGACGGGUCAGCAUCAAUUUUGACUAUUGGAAAAAGAUCAGGGGAAUGUGGCAUCUUCGGAUGUGUUAUAGCCCUUGGUUGCAUACAAUGGUUGGGAUUGAGGAACUCAGCACGCCGCAAGGCCGGGUUUUUAACCACGUACGUGCUUAGGAUGCUGGCAUAAUGGCUUUAAUCGACCCGUCUUGAAACACGGACCAAGGAGUCUAACAUGCCUGCGAGUGUUUGGGUGGAAAACCCGAGCGCGUAAUGAAAGUGAAAGUUGAGAUCCCUGUCGUGGGGAGCAUCGACGCCCGGACCAGACCUUUUGCGACGGUUCCGCGGUAGAGCAUGUAUGUUGGGACCCGAAAGAUGGUGAACUAUGCCUGAAUAGGGUGAAGCCAGAGGAAACUCUGGUGGAGGCUCGUAGCGAUUCUGACGUGCAAAUCGAUCGUCAAAUUUGGGUUAAGGGGCGAAAGACUAAUCGAACCUA